AUUGAACGCUGGCGGAAUGCUUUACACAUGCAAGUCGAACGAUGAACCUUAGCUUGCUAAGGGGAUUAGUGGCGAACGGGUGAGUAAUAUAUCGGAACGUACCUUGUAAUGGGGGAUAACUAGUCGAAAGAUUAGCUAAUACCGCAUACGCCCUGAGGGGGAAAGCAGGGGACCUUCGGGCCUUGCGCUAUCAGAUGAGCCUAGGUCGGAUUAGCUAGUUGGUGAGGUAAUGGCUCACCAAGGCGACGAUCCGUAACUGGUCUGAGAGGAUGAUCAGUCACACUGGAACUGAGACACGGUCCAGACUCCUACGGGAGGCAGCAGUGGGGAAUAUUGGACAAUGGGCGAAAGCCUGAUCCAGCCAUGCCGCGUGUGUGAAGAAGGUCUUCGGAUUGUAAAGCACUUUAAGUUGGGAGGAAGGGUUGUAGAUUAAUACUCUGCAAUUUUGGCGUUACCGACAGAAUAAGCACCGGCUAACUCUGUGCCAGCAGCCGCGGUAAUACAGAGGGUGCAAGCGUUAAUCGGAAUUACUGGGCGUAAAGCGCGCGUAGGUGGUUUGUUAAGUUGGAUGUGAAAUCCCCGGGCUCAACCUGGGAACUGCAUUCAAAACUGACUGACUAGAGUAUGGUAGAGGGUGGUGGAAUUUCCUGUGUAGCGGUGAAAUGCGUAGAUAUAGGAAGGAACACCAGUGGCGAAGGCGACCACCUGGACUAAUACUGACACUGAGAUGCGAAAGCGUGGGGAGCAAACAGG
rnacentral:rRNA from 1 species